rnacentral:rRNA from 1 species
AGACAGGUGCUGCAUGGCUGUCGUCAGCUCGUGUUGUGAAAUGUUGGGUUAAGUCCCGCAACGAGCGCAACCCUUAUCCUUUGUUGCCAGCGGUUCGGCCGGGAACUCAAAGGAGACUGCCAGUGAUAAACUGGAGGAAGGUGGGGAUGACGUCAAGUCAUCAUGGCCCUUACGAGUAGGGCUACACACGUGCUACAAUGGCGUAUACAAAGAGAAGCGACCUCGCGAGAGCAAGCGGACCUCAUAAAGUACGUCGUAGUCCGGAUUGGAGUCUGCAACUCGACUCCAUGAAGUCGGAAUCGCUAGUAAUCGUAGAUCAGAAUGCUACGGUGAAUACGUUCCCGGGCCUUGUACACACCGCCCGUCACACCAUGGGAGUGGGUUGCAAAAGAAGUAGGUAGCUUAACCUUCGGGAGGGCGCUUACCACUUUGUGAUUCAUGACUGGGGUGAAGUCGUAACAAGGUAACCGUAGGGGAACCUGCGGUUGGAUC